CUAUAUUUAAGUGUUACCACAUGAAAUUUUGAGUUUCAAAAUUUUUAAUUUAUUUUAAAAAAAUAUA
rnacentral:tRNA from 1 species